ACUCAAAGGAAUUGACGGGGGCCCGCACAAGCGGUGGAGCAUGUGGUUUAAUUCGACGCAACGCGCAGAACCUUACCAGGGUUUGACAUCCUGUGCUCACCCCAGAGAUGGGGCUUCCCCGCAAGGGGCGCAGAGACAGGUGCUGCAUGGCUGUCGUCAGCUCGUGUCGUGAGAUGUUGGGUUAAGUCCCGCAACGAGCGCAACCCUCGCCUUUAGUUGCCAUCAUUUAGUUGGGCACUCUAAAGGGACCGCCGGCGACAAGCCGGAGGAAGGUGGGGAUGACGUCAAGUCCUCAUGGCCCUUACACCCUGGGCUACACACGUGCUACAAUGACGGUGACAAUGAGCAGCGACCUCGCGAGAGGCGGCGAAUCUCAAAAAACCGUCCCAGUUCAGAUUGCACUCUGCAACUCGAGUGCAUGAAGGUGGAAUCGCUAGUAAUCGCAGAACAGCAGGCUGCGGUGAAUACGUUCCCGGGCCUUGUACACACCGCCCGU
rnacentral:rRNA from 1 species